GACGAACGCUGGCGGCGUGCCUAAUACAUGCAAGUAGAACGCACAGGAUGCACCGUAGUUUACUACACCGUAUUCUGUGAGUUGCGAACGGGUGAGUAACGCGUAGGUAACCUGCCUGGUAGCGGGGGAUAACUAUUGGAAACGAUAGCUAAUACCGCAUAAGAACAUUUACUGCAUGGUAGAUGUUUAAAAGGUGCAAAUGCAUCACUACCAGAUGGACCUGCGUUGUAUUAGCUAGUAGGUGAGGUAACGGCUCACCUAGGCGACGAUACAUAGCCGACCUGAGAGGGUGAUCGGCCACACUGGGACUGAGACACGGCCCAG
rnacentral:rRNA from 1 species